AUUGCCAUCUGCAGUGCCUGGAGGACGGGUGGAGAGGAGUGAAGAAUCUCUUUCUUUUUAAUAGAUUUUCAAGGUGGGAAAAUCAUACUGCAACUCCCAAGCAUUCGGGAACGACUGUACGUAAGACAGAAAGCACAUCUAACGUGGUGCCGGGAACACGGGACACUCUUUACCUUGCAGAUUCCUGGGUGUCGGAAGAAAAGUGCAAACACAGUGUGUAUAAGUCAUCUGGGGCUGCCUUAGCAAAAUGCCACAGACUGGGUAACUUAAACAACAGAAAUUUCUCACAGUUCUGGAGGUUAGAAGUCCAAGAUCACGAUGCUGACAAGGCUCUGCCUUCAGAACUGAGCCAAACUCCCGUGUGUCCUGGCUGCAACCUCCCACAAGCAGAUGGGAAGGGAAAAUCCCUUGAAAGAAGAAUCCACAACCACCCCACCCCCACCCCCAGCUGAACUCUCGCUUGGGUCAAGAAAGGUUCCCUGAGCAGAGCCUUCUGAAAAAUACAGCUGCCACCAACCCCCCUCCAAGGGGGUUUCCUGCAAAUUCCAGGAAGGAGACAGACUGCCCAUUCCCAUCAGCACCAAGAAAACCCCAACAGAACCUGGUAUACUUUCCCACUGAACCCCUCCCCACCCCACCCCCCUUUUGUUAAGUUGAUAUAUAAACCUUUACUCUGAGUAUUCAGCAAGUUACUCAUUGCUGAGAACUCCUACAGGCAUGUGUAAAUAAACCUUGUCU